CGGCAGAAAUUUGGAAUACUUAGUGGCGGACGGGUGAGUAACGCGUGAGCAACCUGCCUUUAAGAGGGGGAUAACAUACCGAAAGGUAUGCUAAUACCGCAUAACGUAUGAUCGUCACAUGGCGGACAUACCAAAGAUUUAUCGCUUAGAGAUGGGCCCGCGUCCGAUUAGAUAGUUGGUGAGGUAACGGCUCACCAAGUCGACGAUCGGUAGCCGGACUGAGAGGUUGAACGGCCACAUUGGGACUGAGACACGGCCCAGACUCCUACGGGAGGCAGCAGUGGGGGAUAUUGCGCAAUGGGGGCAACCCUGAACCGCAGCAACGCCGCGUGAAGGAAGAAGGUCUUCGGAUUGUAAACUUCUGUCUUAUGGGACGAAGAAAUGACGGUACCAUAGGAGGAAGCCACGGCUAACUACGUGCCAGCAGCCGC
rnacentral:rRNA from 1 species